GUUUGGGGGAUAAAAAAAAGUACUGCCACAGCUCUGACUUCCAUGCAUCAAUGGUGGAACACAUGACUCUCACUCCUGGAAGAGCUGGUG